GUUUCUCCAUGUUGGUCAGGCUGGUCUCAAACUCCAGACCUCAGGUGAUCUGCCCGCUUCAGCAUCCCAAAGUGCUGGGAUUAUAGAUGUGAGCCACUGUGCCCGGCCUAGUUGUUUUGUGGUUUUUAAUUAGUACAGUUUACUUGAUAGUUUCAAAGUACUUUUUUUUUUUUUUUUUUGAGACAGGCCUCACUGCAUUGCCCAGGCUAGAGUGCAGUGGUGUGAUGACUGAGGCUCACUACAGCUUGGAUUUCCCAGGCUCAGGUGAUCCUCCCACCUCAGCCUCUCACAGGUGCGCACCACCAGGCUCAGCUACUUUUUUGUAUUUUUUUUGUAGAGAGUUUUGCCAUGUUGCCCAGGCUGGUCUCAAACUCCUGCACUCAAGUGAUCUGCCUGCCUCAGUCUCCCAGAGUGCUGGGAUUACAGCUCUGAUUCAGAUUUUGAAUGGACGUUUGUAUGUAUACCACAGUGCUACAGUAAAAACGAGUCAUGUGGAUGUGGAAAAGGGGGCUGAUCAGGACUCCCUGUUUGCUAACAAAUUCUACAGCAGAAACAAAGUAUUAAGGUUUGGAGCCAGGAAGCAAGUGCAUGGGGAAUAAGCCUGCAGCCUCUUCCAAAUGAGACAGAGCCAAAUCUUUUAGAUAUCCCUGAGUCUAUUUUCUUCAUUUCUAUUAAACUAAGGUCCUUUUUAAGCAGUCGAAUUGUCAUCCAAA